rnacentral:rRNA from 1 species
UACGUAGGGUGCAAGCGUUAUUCGGAAUUACUGGGCGUAAAGCGUGCGCAGGCGGCUUUGCAAGACAGAUGUGAAAUCCCCGGGCUUAACCUGGGAACUGCAUUUGUGACUGCAUGGCUGGAGUGCGGCAGAGGGGGAUGGAAUUCCGCGUGUAGCAGUGAAAUGCGUAGAUAUGCGGAGGAACACCGAUGGCGAAGGCAAUCCCCUGGGCCUGUACUGACGCUCAUGCACGAAAACGUGGGGAGCAAACAGG